UUAAAGGUAGUAUAACAUAUUACAUUUCUUUUACAAAGAAAAGAUAAAUCAGUUUCCUUUAAU
rnacentral:tRNA from 1 species